GAAGAAGAAGAAGAAGGAAGAAGUAGGAACUCACCUCGGAACGACGUCCGAAGAAGGAAGAAGAAGACCCAGAUGAUUCGGCUUUGGAAGUAGAAGACCCAGAAGACCCAGAUGUCGACGAACGAAGUCGAUCUAGGGUCAUUUAACUUGGAAAAUACUUUGGGAUCUCACACAAAGGCCAAGCACAAGCACAGUGCUGGACAAUACAUGGAUUUGAAGAGAGAGCUUCUGAGUUCUGAUUGGAAACUCUAUGCUCAGUCUAUUAGGCAUUUCAAAGGCUGUUUUGGUUCCUUCCGUGUCUUUUGAUCAACUCCUAAUGCG